GAUGAACGCUGGCGGCGUGCCUAAUACAUGCAAGUCGAGCGAACAGACGAGGAGCUUGCUCCUCUGACGUUAGCGGCGGACGGGUGAGUAACACGUGGAUAACCUACCUAUAAGACUGGGAUAACUUCGGGAAACCGGAGCUAAUACCGGAUAAUAUAUUGAACCGCAUGGUUCAAUAGUGAAAGACGGUUUUGCUGACACUUAUAGAUGGAUCCGCGCCGCAUUAGCUAGUUGGUAAGGUAACGGCUUACCAAGGCGACGAUGCGUAGCCGACCUGAGAGGGUGAUCGGCCACACUGGAACUGAGACACGGUCCAGACUCAUACGGGAGGCAGCAGUAGGGAAUCUGCCGCAAUGGGCGAGAGCCUGACGGAGCAACGCCGCGUGAGUGAUGAAGGUCUACGGAUCGUAAAACUCUGUUAUUAGGGAAGAACAAAUGUGUAAGUAACUAUGCACGUCUUGACGGUACCUAAACAGAAAGCCACGGCUAACUACGU
rnacentral:rRNA from 1 species